rnacentral:rRNA from 1 species
AUGGGCGCAAGCCUGAUCCAGCCAUGCCGCGUGGGUGAAGAAGGCCUUCGGGUUGUAAAGCCCUUUUGUUGGGAAAGAAAAGCAGCCGGCCAAUACCCGGUUGUUCUGACGGUACCCAAAGAAUAAGCACCGGCUAACUUCGUGCCAGCAGCCGCGGUAAUACGAAGGGUGCAAGCGUUACUCGGAAUUACUGGGCGUAAAGCGUGCGUAGGUGGUGGUUUAAGUCCGUUGUGAAAGCCCUGGGCUCAACCUGGGAACUGCAGUGGAUACUGGAUCACUAGAGUGUGGCAGAGGGUAGUGGAAUUCCCGGUGUAGCAGUGAAAUGCGUAGAGAUCGGGAGGAACAUCAGUGGCGAAGGCGACUGCCUGGGCCAACACUGACACUGAGGCACGAAAGCGUGGGGAGCAAACAGGAUUAGAUACCCUGGUAGUCCACGCCCUAAACGAUGCGAACUGGAUGUGGGGUGCACUUUGGCACGCAGUAUCGAAGCUAACGCGUNAAGUGCGCCGCCUGGGGAGUACGGUCGCA